rnacentral:rRNA from 1 species
UUAAUUGAAGAGUUUGAUCAUGGCUCAGAUUGAACGCUGGCGGCAGGCCUAACACAUGCAAGUCGAGCGGCAGCGACAGUAACAAUCCUUCGGGUGCGUUAUUGGGCGGCGAGCGGCGGACGGGUGAGUAAUGCCUGG